rnacentral:rRNA from 1 species
UACGUAGGGUGCAAGCGUUAAUCGGAAUACUGGGCGUAAAGCGUGCGCAGGCGGUUUUGUAAGUUUGUCGUGAAAUCCCCGGGCUCAACCUGGGAAUGGCGAUGAAGACUGCAAGGCUAGAAUCUGGCAGAGGGGGGUAGAAUUCCACGUGUAGCAGUGAAAUGCGUAGAGAUGUGGAGGAACACCGAUGGCGAAGGGCAGCCCCCUGGGUCAAGA